rnacentral:lncRNA from 1 species
AAGCGUGGGAACCGACAAAAUCAGAAUCUGCCGAAUAUGGUGGCGGCUGCACAUCAGCGGGAUCCAGGUCCCUACCAAGGUGACGCUGACGGAGCGUUCUGUGUGUGCUGGUGAGGACGCAGCCACUCUGGAGGGCGAGGAUGGCCUGGGAGCAGCAAGGCUGGCAAGGAGCUGACCGCAGGCCCUGUUGGGAUGGAGGAAACACGAGGAAGGAAGCAGCAGACUGUUGGGGCGCUCCAGGCCCAGUGUGGGUGAACAUCUGGCUGGCAGAGCGGAGCAAGGCCCGCAGCUCCUCCUCCUCCAGGAAGCCUACCCUGACUGCUCAGCCCCACCUGCACACCGUCCUCUCAGCUGUGACUAUGUUUCAUGUGCAGGCGGCGCACGUUUCCCACUAAGUCCUAAGGUCUCUGUCAAUGGCAACCAUUUUCUCCCUUUGCUUCUCCCACAGGGAGGUAACUCAGCGCUGGGCCUCAGUGGAAACUCCAUCAUGACCUUCCGAUUUGGGAGGCAGGUCAGGGGAAGUGGUCAGACCUGUGCCAGACAUGGGUCCCUUCUGAUGAGUGAGGAUCCCUUCUGAUGAGGUCCCUUCUGAUGAGCCUGGGCCACCACAGGGGAGCAGCCAGAAGAUGAGGGCUUGCCCAGGUCCCCCAGCCCAGUUCCCCAAGAGAGGGGUUGGCUACAGAGUAGGGAGGGGUGGGGGCAGCCUGGGAGAGAAGAGACUGCGGGCAGCGGGCAGCAGCUGCUGUGGGCUCUGGAGGAGCAACUUCACAUCUCUGUCCUUCAAACCAAACCACAAAGACUGGGUUCCUGGGGAGGGGUCCCUGAAAGGGAGGGAAGCCGCCUCGCUCCACGGAGCCAUUCUCACUGCUUAACGAUGCACAACUCAGUAAUGAAGAGAGUCUACCAGACCCAAUAUAAUCUGAAAUUAAAGAAAAAUGGAAUGUAUUAAAAAUGCAUUGCAGCAUUAAUGGAGGAUGUCAGCUUGACAGCCAAGCCGCACGCAUUACGCUCGGCUUGGGGAGCGCGGCUCUGGGCUGCUGGCCCCAGGGCUCUGAACCACAGAAGGACCUAGGGUGGAGGCUGACCUCUCAGAGGAGGUGCCGAUGUGCCCACUGCUUCCUCCACCCCUACGUUCCCCCGCUUCCCAGGGAGCCAUCCA